rnacentral:rRNA from 1 species
AGCGAGGGAAAUUUAGUACCGAAGUUCUUGAUUCUACACUGCCAAGAAAAGCUUCUAGCGAGAUAAAAGGUGCCCGUACCGCAAACCGACACAGGUAGGCGAGGAGAGAAUCCUAAGGUGUGCGAGAGAACUCUCGUUAAGGAACUCGGCAAAAUGACCCCGUAACUUCGGGAGAAGGGGUGCUCUGGUAGGGUGCAAGCCCGAGAGAGCCGCAGUGAAUAGGCCCAGGCGACUGUUUAGCAAAAACACAGGUCUCUGCGAAGCCGCAAGGCGAAGUAUAGGGGCUGACGCCUGCCCGGUGCUGGAAGGUUAAGAGGAGAGGUUAGCGCAAGCGAAGCUUUGAAUCGAAGCCCCAGUAAACGGCGGCCGUAACUAUAACGGUCCUAAGGUAGCGAAAUUCCUUGUCGGGUAAGUUCCGACCCGCACGAAAGGCGUAACGAUCUGGGCACUGUCUCAACGAGAGACUCGGUGAAAUUAUAGUACCUGUGAAGAUGCAGGUUACCCGCGACAGGACGGAAAGACCCCGUGGAGCUUUACUGCAGCCUGAUAUUGAAUUUUGGUACAGCUUGUACAGGAUAGGUAGGAGCCUUUGAAGCCGGAGCGCCAGCUUCGGUGGAGGCGUCGGUGGGAUACUACCCUGGUUGUAUUGAAAUUCUAACCCGCACCCCUCAAUCGGGGUGGGAGACAGUGUCAGGCGGGCAGUUUGACUGGGGCGGUCGCCUCCUAAAAUGUAACGGAGGCGCCCAAAGGUUCCCUCAGAAUGGUUGGAAAUCAUUCGUAGAGUGCAAAGGCAUAAGGGAGCUUGACUGCGAGACCUACAAGUCGAGCAGGGACGAAAGUCGGGCUUAGUGAUCCGGUGGUUCCGCAUGGAAGGGCCAUCGCUCAACGGAUAAAAGCUACCCCGGGGAUAACAGGCUUAUCUCCCCCAAGAGUCCACAUCGACGGGGAGGUUUGGCACCUCGAUGUCGGCUCAUCGCAUCCUGGGGCUGUAGUCGGUCCCAAGGGUUGGGCUGUUCGCCCAUUAAAGCGGUACGCGAGCUGGGUUCAGAACGUCGUGAGACAGUUCGGUCCCUAUCCGUCGCGGGCGUAGGAAAUUUGAGAGGAGCUGUCCUUAGUACGAGAGGACCGGGAUGGACGCACCUCUGGUGUACCAGUUGUCUUGCCAAAGGCAUCGCUGGGUAGCUAUGUGCGGACGGGAUAAGUGCUGAAAGCAUCUAAGCAUGAAGCCCCCCUCAAGAUGAGAUUUCCCAUAGCGUCAAGCUAGUAAGACCCCUGAGAGAUGAUCAGGUUGAUAGGUUCGAGAUGGAAGUGUGGCGACACAUGGAGUUGACGAAUACUAAUCGGUCGAGGACUUAACCUA